CCAGACUCCUACGGGAGGCAGCAGUGGGGAAUAUUGCACAAUGGGCGGAAGCCUGAUGCAGCAACGCCGCGUGCGGGAUGACGGCCUUCGGGUUGUAAACCGCUUUCGCCUGUGACGAAGCGUGAGUGACGGUAAUGGGUAAAGAAGCACCGGCUAACUACGUGCCAGCAGCCGUGGUGAUACGUAGGGUGCGAGCGUUGUCCGGAUUUAUUGGGCGUAAAGGGCUCGUAGGUGGUUGAUCGCGUCGGAAGUGUAAUCUUGGGGCUUAACCCUGAGCGUGCUUUCGAUACGGGUUGACUUGAGGAAGGUAGGGGAGAAUGGAAUUCCUGGUGGAGCGGUGGAAUGCGCAGAUAUCAGGAGGAACACCAGUGGCGAAGGCGGUUCUCUGGGCCUUUCCUGACGCUGAGGAGCGAAAGCGUGGGGAGCGAACAGGCUUAGAUACCCUGGUAGUCCACGCUGUAAACGGUGGGUACUAGGUGUGGGGUCCAUUCCACGGGUUCCGUGCCGUAGCUAACGCUUUAAGUACCCCGCCUGGGGAGUACGGCCGCAAGGCUAAAACUCAAAGGAAUUGACGGGGGCCCGCACAAG
rnacentral:rRNA from 1 species